rnacentral:rRNA from 1 species
UAUGUGAUCGUCUCUCGCAUAUCAAUAAGCGGAGGAAAAGAAACUAACAAGGAUUCCCCUAGUAACGGCGAGUGAAGCGGGAAGAGCUCAAAUUUGAAAUCUUAAAGGGUUUCCCUUUACGAAUUGUAGUUUAAAGAAGUGUUUUCUGUUGAGGUUUUGGUAAAAGUUCUUUGGAAUAGGACAUCAUAGAGGGUGAGAAUCCCGUAUUUGACCUUUACUUUCAACUUUGUGAUACACUUUCAAAGAGUCGGAUUGUUUGGGAAUGCAGUCCAAAAUGGGUGGUAAAUUUCAUCUAAAGCUAAAUAUUGGCGAGAGACCGAUAGCGAACAAGUACCGUGAGGGAAAGAUGAAAAGAACUUUGAAAAGAGAGUUAAACAGUACGUGAAAUUGUCAAAAGGGAAGCGUUUGACACCAGUGUUGUUUUUCUGAAAAUCAAUUAAAGAACUGUUUAUGCUAAGUUGUUUAGACUUUAUCAGCUAACUGUUUAGUUUUAGGCUUUUCUUUAAUGCACUUUUCAGUUAACAAGUCAACAUCAAUUUCUUUUGCUGUAAAAAAGCUUGAGGAAGGUGGCUUGAGAUUCGUCUUAAGUGUUUAUAGCCUCUUGCCUAUGCAGUCGGAGAGAUUGAGGUCUGCAGCGUAGAUCCUUCGGGGCUAAAUGCAUUUGUGCUAAGUUAUAGCAUUUUAUAGACAACUUGUUGACUAUGAUUUGUCUUGUAGCUUACUCGCUUAUGUUAUUUUACCUACGCUUAGGAUGUUGAUCUACAGAGCGAGAGU